rnacentral:rRNA from 1 species
AUACGUAGGGGGCGAGCGUUGUCCGGAAUGAUUGGGCGUAAAGGGCGCGUAGGCGGCCCGGUAAGUCUGGAGUGAAAGUCCUGUUUUUAAGAUGGGAAUUGCUUUGGAUACUGUCGGGCUUGAGUGCAGGAGAGGUAAGUGGAAUUCCCAGUGUAGCGGUGAAAUGCGUAGAGAUUGGGAGGAACACCAGUGGCGAAGGCGACUUACUGGACUGUAACUGACGCUGAGGCGCGAAAGCGUGGGGAGCGAACAGGAUUAGAUACCCUGGUAGUCCACGCGGUAAACGAUGAAUGCUAGGUGUUGCGGGUAUCGACCCCUGCAGUGCCGGAGUAAACACAAUAAGCAUUCCGCCUGGGGAGUACGGCCGCAAGGUUGAAACUCAAAUGAAUUGACGGGG